AUAAAAUUUACCCUCUCGAAUAUGCAAAUCCAUUUCUUUUUUGAAUGAGAUUAUAUAUUCAUUGCAUCAUCCAAAAUAAUAUCUGGAGAAUUAUCAUCUCACUCCAGAGAGCCAGACAGAAAAACAACUGAUCGAAUUAACUGAUUUUCUCUAUUGCCUUUCAAUCACAUGCAGUGAAACCAGUUGCGCCGAGAUAUAAUCACACCCUAAUAAAAUCGUACCAUCAUUCAGAGUGAACAGCGAUGAAGACGAACAAAGUCUCAGCAUCAGGCGUGGCAUUGAUAAUUCUUCUCGUUUUAGUCAUUGCUUUGAUGCUAACAUCAGCAGAAGCUCGAACAGGCAGAGGUGGUGGUGGUAGAGGUGGCGGCGGUGGUAGAGGUGGUGGCCGAGGAAGUAGAUAUAGCAAUGGUCGUAUACGUGGGGUUGGUGGUGGUCAUAUUUCCGCCGCCGUCGCCUGGAGCGCUUCCUCCAAGCUUGGGUUAAUGUUAGUAGUUUUCUUUUUCUUGUAGUUGGUUUCAGAGAUGUGUUCAUUUCAUAAUAUCAAAUUUUGAAACGAUAGUAUCCUGAAGAUGGGAUUACUAUUUUUAAUAUUAUUAUUUGUUUUGUUUUAGACGGUAAUGGCACAUGAAAUGUUUUGUGCUGCUUUCAAUAAAGCAGAGAAGUCAAGUAUUGAAUACCAGCUAGCUACAAAUUUAUUUAUCAAGAA